UCCUGGUUUGUGCCUGGAGUGAGGCUCGUCUCUGGGCCUCGGAAUUCGGGGUGACGCGUGGGUGCUGCUGCUGCAGGCCUGAAGUCCCAGCUCCUGAGCCGGCCGAGGCAGGAGGGUCCUGGGCCGCAGAACGAACUGAAGCAGAUGAAGCCACACUGGACCUCACAAGAUGUACCCCAGCUUUCCUGUGGCGCACAGACUUCCCAGGACACUGUCUAAUGAAAUGACCCACCUCAACAGCCACCUGUCAUCCACUCUCAGCUCACUCCUUAAGGUGGGACUAAGGAGGGAACAGAGGACCAUGGAGGCACUGCAUAUUUGGAUACGAGAAUCAAUGGCAACGUGAAAGGCUCAAAAAACAAGAACAAGUUACAUCCCUAGAAAAUCCCUGGAAGAUAUAUCCAACUCCCUUCAGGUCAUCAAUUACACAGUACUUAGUCCAAGGAAGAGACAGUGUUUCCAAGGAGUAAGAAGAGGCCUACCACAUCCUGUGUACCCUGAUGCUGCCGUUUGCAAAUGCCCUUUUCAUAAGAUACUACUUUGUAAGGGUCUGCUCUUCCACCAUUCUGGAAAAAAUAUUCAAGUAUCUAUAAUGGGUGUAGUCAUGUUUCCAUUUCUUUUUAGACAGUGUGUCACUAUGCAGCCCUGGCUGGGCUGGAAAUCAGUCGGCUUGGAACUGAUAGAUUUUCCUGCCUUUACCUCCUUAAUGCUGGUAUUACAGAUGUUUCUCACUAUACCUGGAUGGUACAGUCAUGUUGUAACAGCCAAACUCAAGUUAAAAACAACAUAUUAGAGAGGACCCUUUCUAUUUCAGGUAGAAAAACUAAUCUUACCCACUCACAGGCUGCUAAUUCCUGUUCCCUAAUAAAAAUGUCUUUUUCAGCAGAGGGUUCCUGAGCACCUAGGAAGACACUGUUAAUCACUGGUCUGUGAUUUCCUGAGAGAGCACUGCUUAACUUAUUCAGCAGUAUGGUUGUGCUCUAAAGCCUAGAGUGAGUCACUGCUGGGGCUUCCUCAGUGAAAGCAGACUAAAUGAGGAGCAGGAAAGAAAAGGAAAACUGAGCACUUGACAUGUUCAUGGCAGAGGAAGACAACUAGAAACUGUCCUCACCUCCUACCAGUGCCCCGUUUCUCACAGUGAUUGCUUUAAGCUCACGUAGUUGAUGAUUAAAAAAAAAACCUUGAAUCAAUAUGAUUUAUAAUUUAUGCUGAGCAUCUAAUAGCAAUUCUCAAGGAUAAUCUCAUCCUCAUAGAAUAUGGCUUAUGCAGUGGUGUCACGCCACCUCCAGUGGAGCCCGCGUGAGGAAUUCUCCAUGGGUGGAGGCUGAGAAAACUUCAAAGGAAGAAUGCCUCCUGGAGAAUGGCUGUGUUAAAAAAGCAUGCUGUGUCCUUGGCUCUUCUGCUUUAGUUCUUGUCUUC